rnacentral:rRNA from 1 species
GAUGAACGCUGGCGGCGUGCCUAAUACAUGCAAGUCGAGCGAACGGACGAGAAGCUUGCUUCUCUGAUGUUAGCGGCGGACGGGUGAGUAACACGUGGAUAACCUACCUAUAAGACUGGGAUAACUUCGGGAAACCGGAGCUAAUACCGGAUAAUAUUUUGAACCGCAUGGUUCAAAAGUGAAAGACGGUCUUGCUGUCACUUAUAGAUGGAUCCGCGCUGCAUUAGCUAGUUGGUAAGGUAACGGCUUACCAAGGCAACGAUGCAUAGCCGACCUGAGAGGGUGAUCGGCCACACUGGAACUGAGACACGGUCCAGACUCCUACGGGAGGCAGCAGUAGGGAAUCUUCCGCAAUGGGCGAAAGCCUGACGGAGCAACGCCGCGUGAGUGAUGAAGGCCUUCGGAUCGUAAAACUCUGUUAUUAGGGAAGAACAUAUGUGUAAGUAACUGUGCACAUCUUGACGGUACCUAAUCAGAAAGCCACGGCUAACCACGUG